rnacentral:rRNA from 1 species
AUUGAACGCUGGCGGCAGGCCUAACACAUGCAAGUCGAACGAGUGGCGGACGGGUGAGUAAUGUCUGGGAAACUGCCCGAUGGAGGGGGAUAACUACUGGAAACGGUAGCUAAUACCGCAUACCAUCGGAUGUGCCCAGAUGGGAUUAGCUAGUAGGUGGGGUAACGGCUCACCUAGGCGACGAUCCCUAGCUGGUCUGAGAGGGUGACCAGCCAAACUGGGACUGAGACACGGCCCAGACUCCUACGGGAGGCAGCAGUGGGGAAUAUUGCACAAUGGGCGCAAGCCUGAUGCAGCCAUGCCGCGUGUAUGAAGAAGGCCUUCGGGUUGUAAAGUACUUUCAGCGAGGAGGCGUUACCCGCAGAAGAAGCACCGGCUAACUCCGUGCCAGCAGCCGCGGUAAUAC